CGCGACCCCAGGUCAGGCGGGAUUACCCGCUGAAUUUAA
rnacentral:rRNA from 2 species